UAAGUACUCCCUCCGUCCGAAAAUACUUGUCAUCAAAAUGGAUAAAAAGAUAUGUAUCUAAAACUAAAAUAUAUCUAGAUACAUCCCCUUUUAUUCAUUUUGAUGACAAGUAUUUCCGGACGGAGGGAGUAGCAA
rnacentral:pre_miRNA from 1 species